AUACGUAGGUGGCGAGCGUUGUCCGGAAUUAUUGGGCGUAAAGGGCGCGUAGGCGGGAUAGUCAGUCUGUUGUAAAAGUUCGGGGCUCAACCCCGUGAAGCAAUGGAAACUGCUAUUCUUGAGUGCAGGAGAGGAAAGUGGAAUUCCCAGUGUAGCGGUGAAAUGCGUAGAUAUUGGGAGGACCACCUGUGGCGAAGGCGCCUAACUGGAACGGACCUGACGGUGAGUAACGAAAGCCAGGGGCGC
rnacentral:rRNA from 1 species